GAUGAACGCUGGCGGCGUGCCUAACACAUGCAAGUGGAGCGACGAACCAGGGCUUGCCCUGGGGCUAAGCCGCGAACGGGUGAGUAACACGUGGGUUACCUGCCUCGAUGACCGGGACAACCCGAGGAAACUCGGGCUAAUACCGCAUGUGCCCGCACGGGGAAAGGAAGCUUCGGACUCCGCAUCGAGAUGGGCCCGCGGCCCAUUCGCUUGUUGGUGAGGUAACGGCUCACCAAGGCUGCGAUGGGUAGCUGGUCUGAGAGGACGAUCAGCCACACUGGGACUGAGACACGGCCCAGACUCCUACGGGAGGCAGCAGUGGGGAAUCUUGCGCAAUGCGCGAAAGCGUGACGCAGCAACGCCGCGUGGGGGAAGAAGGCUUUCGGGUUGUAAACCCCUUUCAGUUGGGACGAAGCUUCGCCGAUGAAUAGUCGGUCGGAGUGACGGUACCUUCACAAGAAGCACCGGCUAACUACGUGCCAGCAGCCGCAGUAA
rnacentral:rRNA from 1 species